GAUUCCCAGGUUGUCCCUGUCUAAUUACACGGUGAUCUCUGGACUUCUCCUGUGCGAGGUCCAGAAUGCAUCAGACAGGACAGCCAGGUGGGCCAGAAGACUCCGGUUCCUCCUCUGUGCCUGCUUGAAAUACAUACUCUGA
rnacentral:lncRNA from 1 species